AAGAGCUCGUAGGCGGUUUGUCGCGUCUGCUGUGAAAUCCCGAGGCUCAACCUCGGGCUUGCAGUGGGUACGGGCAGACUAGAGUGCGGUAGGGGAGAUUGGAAUUCCUGGUGUAGCGGUGGAAUGCGCAGAUAUCAGGAGGAACACCGAUGGCGAAGGCAGAUCUCUGGGCCGUAACUGACGCUGAGGAGCGAAAGCGUGGGGAGCGAACAGGAUUAGAUACCCUGGUAGUCCACGCCGUAAACGUUGGGCGCUAGAUGUAGGGACCUUUCCACGGUUUCUGUGUCGUAGCUAACGCAUUAAGCGCCCCGCCUGGGGAGUACGGCCGCAAGGCUAAAACUCAAAGGAAUUGACGGGGGCCCGCACAAGCGGCGGAGCAUGCGGAUUAAUUCGAUGCAACGCGAAGAACCUUACCAAGGCUUGACAUACACCGGAAACGGCCAGAGAUGGUCGCCCCCUUGUGGUCGGUGUACAGGUGGUGCAUGGUUGUCGUCAGCUCGUGUCGUGAGAUGUUGGGUUAAGUCCCGCAACGAGCGCAACCCUCGUUCUAUGUUGCCAGCGCGUUAUGGCGGGGACUCAUAGGAGACUGCCGGGGUCAACUCGGAGGAAGGUGGGGAUGACGUCAAAUCAUCAUGCCCCUUAUGUCUUGGGCUUCACGCAUGCUACAAUGGCCGGUACAAAGGGCUGCGAUACCGUAAGGUGGAGCGAAUCCCAAAAAGCCGGUCUCAGUUCGGAUUGAGGUCUGCAACUCGACCUCAUGAAGUCGGAGUCGCUAGUAAUCGCAGAUCAGCAACGCUGCGGUGAAUACGUUCCCGGGCCUUGUACACACCGCCCGUCAAGUCAUGAAAGUCGGUAACACCCGAAGCCGGUGGCCUAACCCUUGUGG
rnacentral:rRNA from 1 species